rnacentral:rRNA from 1 species
UAACAAUAAUUACCCUUAAAAAUUCCUUAAAAAUUUCUUAAAAGAAUGGGUCUAUAAUUAUAAUAUAUUUUACCAAAAGGUAAAUUUAAUUUUUGUUUGAAGGGUCAAAUACACUAAGUUUGACAUGUUAUAAUUUAGUUAUUUUUGAUAUUAAAUAAGUUUUAUAGGAAAGUCAAUAGUUUUAGGUAACUUAAAAUAAGCUUCUAGCUUUGUUAUGUUGUGGUUAAGAUUGUGCCAGCAUCUGCGGUUAUACUCUCACUGAAGACUUUUGUUAGGGUUUAAGUUGUUUUAUAAAAGCUUGGAUUUAAGGUGGAAUUUAUAAAUUUAUUAGUUAAACAAACUUAAGAAUUAAACUCGUAAACUAGGAUUAGAUACCCUAUUAUAUAUUUAACCUAAAAGAUUUUAAAAAAAUUAAUAAAUUUGGCGGCUUUGACUAUUCAGAGGAGUUUGUUUGUUAAACUGAUAAACCCCGAUUUUUUACACUUCUGUUGUUCUUUUAUACCAUCAUUUGAAUAAUUCUAAAUAGAUAUUAUUGUGUUAUUUUUAGUAAUUUAGAUCGAGGUGAGGAUAUAUAGAAGGAGGUAAUUAGCUACAUUAAGAAAUUUUUUACUAAUUUUAAAAAUUUAAAGAUAUGUAUAGGAUUUGAUAGUAAUGAAGGUAUGUUCUUGAUAAAUAAUUUAAAGUGUACAAAUUGCCCGUCAUUCCCUUUGGGACAAGUCGAAACAAAGUAGGGUGACCUGAAGGUCACCCUA